rnacentral:tRNA from 6 species
GCCGCCUUAGCUCAGUUGGUAGAGCGCACGCUUCGUAAGCGUUAGGUCGACGGUUCGAAUCCGUCAGGCGGCU